rnacentral:rRNA from 1 species
AUUGAACGCUGGCGGCAGGCUUAACACAUGCAAGUCGAGCGGAGAUGAGGUGCUUGCACCUUAUCUUAGCGGCGGACGGGUGAGUAAUGCUUAGGAAUCUGCCUAUUAGUGGGGGACAACAUUCCGAAAGGAAUGCUAAUACCGCAUACGCCCUACGGGGGAAAGCAGGGGAUCUUCGGACCUUGCGCUAAUAGAUGAGACUAAGUCGGAUUAGCUAGUUGGUGGGGUAAAGGCCUACCAAGGCGACGAUCUGUAGCGGGUCUGAGAGGAUGAUCCGCCACACUGGGACUGAGACACGGCCCAGACUCCUACGGGAGGCAGCAGUGGGGAAUAUUGGACAAUGGGCGGAAGCCUGAUCCAGCCAUGCCGCGUGUGUGAAGAAGGCCUUUUGGUUGUAAAGCACUUUAAGCGAGGAGGAGGCUACCUGGAUUAAUACUCUAGGAUAGUGGACGUUACUCGCAGAAUAAGCACCGGCUAACUCUGUGCCAGCAGCCGCGGUAAAAC